rnacentral:rRNA from 1 species
GAUGAACGCUGGCGGCGUGCCUAAUACAUGCAAGUCGAACGGGAAGCAUCCUUCGGGAUGCUGAGAGUGGCGGACGGGUGAGUAACACGUAGCUGAUCUGCCGUAUGCCGGGGGAUAACACCGGGAAACCGGUGCUAAAACCGCGUAAGCUCUAAGGCCUUAGAAAACUUAGAGGAAAACUUUUGUGGCAUACGAGGAGGCUGCGGGCCAUCAGGUGGUUGGUGAGGUAACGGCUCACCAAGCCGACGACGGCUAGGGGACCUGAGAGGGUGACCCCCCACACUGGAACUGAGACACGGUCCAGACUCCUACGGGAGGCAGCAGUAAGGGAUAUUGCACAAUGGGCGCAAGCCUGAUGCAGCAACGCCGCGUGCAGGAAGAAGGGUUUCGGCUCGUAAACUGCUUUUCUGUGGGACGAGGAUGACGGUACCACAGGAAGAAGUCUCGGCUAACUACGUGCCAGCAGCCGCGGUAAAACGUAGGAGGCAAGCGUUAUCCGGAUUUACUGGGCGUAAAGGGCGUGCAGGUGGCGUGUUAAGUGGUGCGUGAAAGCGCCCGGCUCAACCGGGCGAGGCCGUGCCAAACUGGGACGCUAGAAACAGGCAGAGGAAAGUGGAAUUCGGGGUGUAGUGGUGAAAUGCGUAGAGAUCCCGAGGAACUCCUGUGGCGAAGCGAUUUGGGUCUGCUUUGAACUCAG